rnacentral:rRNA from 1 species
GCGGAGGAAAAGAAACCAACUGGGAUUGCCUCAGUAACGGCGAGUGAAGCGGCAACAGCUCAAAUUUGAAAUCUGGCGCCUUGGGCGUCCGAGUUGUAAUUUGUAGAGGGAGUCUCGGGUUAAGGGUCGGUCCAAGUGCCUUGGAACAGGAUACCGAAGAGGGUGAGAGUCCCGUAUCCGGCCGACGCCAGCGCCCGUGUGAGGCCCCUUCGACGAGUCGAGUUGUUUGGGAAUGCAGCUCUAAAUGGGUGGUAAAUUCCAUCUAAAGCUAAAUACUGGCCAGAGACCGAUAGCGCACAAGUAGAGUGAUCGAAAGAUGAAAAGCACUUUGAAAAGAGAGUCAAACAGUACGUGAAAUUGUUGAAAGGGAAGCGUAUGUGGGCAGACUUGGACGCUGGAUUCAGGCCGCCUUCUGGCGGGUGUAUUUUCCAGCGGACAGGCCAGCAUCGGUUCUGAGGGCCGGACAAAGACGAAGGGAAUGUGGCUCCUCUCUGGGGAGUGUUAUAGCCCGGCGUGCAAUGCGGCCACUUGGACCGAGGACCGCGC